CCUACGGGGUGCUGCAGUGGGGAAUAUUGGACAAUGGGCGAAAGCCUGAUCCAGCCAUGCCGCGUGUGUGAAGAAAGCCUUCGGGUUGUAAAGCACUUUCAGUGGGGAAGAAAGCCUUGGGGCUAAUACCCUCGAGGAAGGACAUCACCCACAGAAGAAGCACCGGCUAACUCCGUGCCAGCAGCCGCGGUAAUACGGAGGGUGCGAGCGUUAAUCGGAAUUACUGGGCGUAAAGCGCGCGUAGGCGGUCUGAUAAGCCGGUUGUGAAAGCCCCGGGCUCAACCUGGGAACGGCAUCCGGAACUGUCAGGCUAGAGUGCAGGAGAGGAAGGUAGAAUUCCCGGUGUAGCGGUGAAAUGCGUAGAGAUCGGGAGGAAUACCAGUGGCGAAGGCGGCCUUCUGGACUGACACUGACGCUGAGGUGCGAAAGCGUGGGUAGCAAACAGGAUUAGAUACCCGUGUAGUC
rnacentral:rRNA from 1 species